GCUACUCUUGCUCUGUCAUUAUAGCUCAAUAAUUGUUUAUUGUAUAAAUGAAUUGAUAUAUUUCACAUUGUUAGUUUUCAGAUUUGAUCUGGGAAAUACUGAACAAAUAUCUUUCUGGAUAUUUUUUGGGGAUGUAUAUUGGAAACAGACAUGACUGAUGAUUUUUCUACUUCUAUUGCUUGGGCUCUGAUGAAGCCUUCAGUAAAGUCAAUUUAAAUUACCGCACUGAAAAUGGGCUGUCGCUACUUCAUUUAUGUUGCAUUUGUGGAGGCAACAAGUCACAUGUUCGAACCCUUAUGUUAAAAGGGCUCCGCCCAUCUCGACUAACAAGAAAUGGAUUUACAGCCUUGCACUUGGCAGUUUACAAGGAUAGUGCAGAAUUGAUCACUUCCCUGCUUCACAGUGGAGCUGAUAUACAGCAGGUUGGGUAUGGUGGCCUCACUGCCCUCCAUAUUGCUACAAUAGCUGGUCAUCUGGAGGCUGCUGAUGUGCUGUUGCAACAUGGAGCUAAUGUCAACGUUCAAGAUGCAGUUUUCUUUACUCCAUUGCACAUCGCAGCAUACUAUGGGCAUGAACAGGUAACCCGCCUCCUUUUGAAAUUUGGUGCUGAUGUAAAUGUAAGUGGUGAAGUUGGAGAUAGACCCCUCCACUUAGCAUCUGCAAAAGGAUUCUUUAAUAUUGUGAAACUCUUGAUGGAAGAAAGCAACAAAGCAGAUGUGAAUGCUCAGGAUAAUGAAGACCACGUCCCGCUCCAUUUCUGUUGUCGAUUUGGACACCGUGAUAUUGUGAAGUACCUGCUCCAAAGUAAUUUGGAAGUUCAACCCCAUGUUGUUAAUAUUUAUGGAGACACCCCUUUGCAUCUGGCAUGCUACAAUGGCAAAUUUGAAGUCGCCAAGGAAAUCAUCCAAAUAUCAGGAACAGAAAGUCUGACUAAGGAAAACAUCUUCAGUGAAACAGCUUUUCACAGUGCAUGUACCUAUGGAAAGAACAUUGACCUAGUUAAAUUUCUUCUUGAUCAGAAUGUCAUAAACAUCAACCACCAAGGAAGGGAUGGGCAUACAGGAUUACACUCUGCUUGUUACCAUGGUCACAUUCGCCUGGUUCAGUUCUUACUGGAUAAUGGAGCUGAUAUGAAUCUAGUAGCUUGUGAUCCCAGCAGGUCCAGUGGUGAAAAAGAUGAGCAGACAUGUUUGAUGUGGGCUUAUGAAAAAGGGCAUGAUGCCAUUGUCACACUCCUGAAGCAUUAUAAGAGACCACAGGAUGAACUACUCUGUAAUGAAUAUUCUCAGCCUGGAGGAGAUGGCUCUUACGUGUCUGUUCCAUCUCCUUUGGGAAAGAUUAAAAGCAUGACAAAAGAGAAGGCAGAUGUUCUCCUCCUAAGGGCCGGAUUGCCUUCACAUUUCCAUCUUCAGCUCUCAGAAAUUGAGUUCCAUGAGAUUAUUGGCUCAGGUUCUUUUGGGAAAGUAUAUAAAGGACGAUGCAGGAAUAAAAUAGUGGCUAUAAAACGUUAUCGAGCCAACACCUACUGCUCCAAGUCAGAUGUGGAUAUGUUUUGCCGAGAGGUGUCCAUUCUCUGCCAGCUCAAUCAUCCCUGUGUAAUUCAGUUUGUGGGGGCCUGCUUGAAUGAUCCCAGCCAGUUUGCCAUUGUCACUCAGUACAUAUCAGGGGGUUCGCUCUUUUCCCUCCUUCAUGAACAGAAAAGGAUUCUUGAUUUGCAGUCUAAAUUAAUUAUUGCAGUAGAUGUUGCCAAAGGCAUGGAGUACCUUCACAACCUGACACAGCCAAUUAUACACCGUGACUUGAACAGUCACAAUAUUCUUCUUUAUGAGGAUGGGCAUGCUGUGGUAGCAGAUUUUGGAGAAUCAAGAUUUCUACAGUCUCUGGAUGAAGACAACAUGACAAAACAACCUGGGAACCUCCGUUGGAUGGCUCCUGAGGUGUUCACGCAGUGCACCCGGUACACCAUCAAAGCCGACGUCUUCAGCUACGCUCUGUGUUUGUGGGAACUUCUCACUGGCGAAAUUCCAUUCGCUCAUCUCAAGCCCGCGGCUGCGGCGGCAGACAUGGCUUACCACCACAUCAGACCUCCCAUUGGCUAUUCCAUUCCCAAGCCCAUAUCCUCUCUGCUGAUGCGAGGGUGGAAUGCAUGUCCUGAAGGAAGACCCGAGUUUUCUGAAGUUGUUAUGAAACUAGAAGAGUGUCUCUGCAACAUUGAGCUGAUGUCUCCUGCUUCGAGUAACAGCAGCGGGUCUCUCUCACCUUCUUCUUCGUCUGAUUGCCUGGUGAGCCGGGGAGGGCCUAGCCGCAACCAUGUGGCAGCAUUAAGGAGUCGUUUUGAAUUGGAAUAUGCUCUCAAUUCAAGGUCCUAUGCUGCCUGGUCUCAAAGUGCUGGACAAUGUUCCUCUCAAGGCCUGUCUUUGGAGGACAUGAAAAGAAGUCUUCAGUACUCACCAAUUGACAAAUAUGGCUAUGUAUUUGAUCCCAUGAGCCCGAUGCAUUUUCAUUCUUGCCAGAAUAGUGGCAGCUUUGAGGACAGCAGCUGACGUCAUUCGGCAUAUACCUAAGGAGAGUUUUCCUCCACACUGACAGCAGCAAUUCAAAUCAUGGGGAUGGCACUCUCUAAAGAAGAAGCAGCAUGGGAGCUUGUGCUCUGCUUUCUGGUGAGACCAAGCCAGGAUAGGCCACAUACAGAUGGACUGAAUUGUGACCGCUAUCUUAUGUCUCUGCAAGGUGGCAAGGACUUUUUAACCUGGCCUUCAGAAAGUUCUGUCAUCUGCAUGAAAAUGACUGGCUUCCUGGCACUGCCUGGAGGGUACCAACCUUCCAAACAAACUCUGUCUUCCUGGUGCUUCUCCUUCCUUCAUUUUAAGCAUCUGUCACCCCCUUGGAGUGUUAAUGAAUGAAAUGCUCUUUCGCUACUUUUGUUUUUAACUCAUCAAUAUUCAUUAAACAUAAACUUCACUCAUUUUUAGUACGAGUUUCAGAAGAAUAAGGAAGCAAACUACUCAAGUUUUGUGAUAGUUGAGUUGCACCCACCCACCACAUUAUAUUUAAUAGUUCUCCUUAGUUACAGUAAUUGCCUGCCCAUCCUUCAAGCCUUAGUUCUACACAAAGAGAAUGAGGAAGCUGAAUAAAAAACAAGAACAAAGGACUGCCAGAUUGGAAAGGCACCAAGUUAAAGGGCCCAUUGCAUCACAGUAAAAUUGGUAAUGGAAUGAAGAAUUGGCCAUUAUUAUGAAGAAAGGUGGAGGACUGGCAAAAGGGAAGACCUUGACUGCGUCAGGCUAGUUCUCCGGUCUGUUUUCAGAUAAAGUGCAUAUGGAGGUCAAGCACCUGCAAACUUGCCAUGAAAAACUUCCUCUUCCCUCAGGGGCAUACUCAAGGUCUCUGUAUCACAUUAGUGCCAAGCUCCUGGACAACGAGUAAUACCAUGGCUACCAUUGAGAAAAAAAGACAAGACUUGAUGAUGAUUAUGCACCUACUGUAUAUCAAACAAUGAGUUCCCGUGAUUGAUGGGUGAGUACAACUGUAGAACUUCACACUUUGGAAGUGACCACUGCUCAGCUUUUCUUGUUUUCCAAGGAUCUUAAGCAGGUAAUUCCUAAUUAUUUUUAGGUAUAGAACUUCCUAUUGUUUUAUUUUACCACCCUCUCCUUCUUUUCAUUGUAAAAGUUCCAGGGACCAGUAUUUUUUAAAUGAAUUAAAACUAAUUUCACUUUUAAUAAACUGGAGGAAUUAACAUAUAUUCCUUAAAAUAACCAAAAGUAUCAUUAUGGAUGUAACAAAAAAAAGGCUAUGCAAUAGAAGUGCUAACAGUCUCCACGAAGGUAGUUCUCAACUCUCACUGGAUUUCUGCAGCAUCAGUGACUCUGGAAUAGCCAAAGCAGCCUCAGGUGGGGACGAGGCCAGACAAGCAAGGCUCCAGCACUUACCCUUCUACCCCCAUCCUAUUUAAACCAUGCUGACUUGACUCUUACCUGAUCUGCAGCAAAAAUGAGUUAAAUGACCUAACCAAAAACAAGCAGAUAGCAUGUUUGGAUUGGACCUGGAAGGCAGUCCAGGUGGAACCUAAGUACAGCGGGGCAUUGGUACUACACUGCCUUGGGCCAUUCACUCUCCCACUCUCUCCUAAAACCUCCAAACCCUCCUUCCUCAGUCUUAACCUCUGCUGAUAAAUUUAUUUCUUGUUGGAGAAAACAGAAGCAAUCAGCAGAGAACUGCUAGUUGGUCCCAGCACAUCCAACCAACUUACCUCUCUCUCUAGCUUGUAUGCCCUCUUUCCUCCCGUUACUAUGGAAGAAACACUUCUCCCCUUCCUAAGGCUUACACCCCCACCUGAGCCCUGGAUCCCAUCUUCUUCAGUCUACUAAAGCACUUUCCCCCUGUAUACUAUCCUUCAUCAGUUUUUUUUUUUCUUCUCUAGGAUAUCAAUCCUACCUAUUAGCAUACAAAGAUAACAUCACCCAUCUUAAAAAAUAAAAAGUCCUAUGGGUCCCUAUAUUCUCCCUCCUGACUACCAUCCAAUUACAAAUUUUUGUAACAAAAUGAUUUUUAAAAGUUGUCUGUAGUCUCUGGCCUUAGUUCUUCUCCAA